GAUGAACGCUGGCGGCGUGCCUAAUACAUGCAAGUCGAGCGAACGGACGAGAAGCUUGCUUCUCUGAUGUUAGCGGCGGACGGGUGAGUAACACGUGGAUAACCUACCUAUAAGACUGGGAUAACUUCGGGAAACCGGAGCUAAUACCGGAUAAUAUUUUGAACCGCAUGGUUCAAAAGUGAAAGACGGUCUUGCUGUCACUUAUAGAUGGAUCCGCGCUGCAUUAGCUAGUUGGUAAGGUAACGGCUUACCAAGGCAACGAUGCAUAGCCGACCUGAGAGGGUGAUCGGCCACACUGGAACUGAGACACGGUCCAGACUCCUACGGGAGGCAGCAGUAGGGAAUCUUCCGCAAUGGGCGAAAGCCUGACGGAGCAACGCCGCGUGAGUGAUGAAGGUCUUCGGAUCGUAAAACUCUGUUAUUAGGGAAGAACAUAUGUGUAAGUAACUGUGCACAUCUUGACGGUACCUAAUCAGAAAGCCACGGCGAACGACG
rnacentral:rRNA from 1 species